GUUGACCUCGGAUCAGGUAGGGAUACCCGUUGUGCCCUGGAGCCCGGCGGAUCGGCGUCCAUGAAGCCCACAUCCACAGUUGACCUCGGAUCAGGUAGGGAUACCCG
rnacentral:rRNA from 1 species